CCAAAAGUGAUGAGGCCAACGAGGGAAUUUUCCGGGAGGAGGCCGAUGGCCUGGGACAAGGCGGACUUGAGAAAGGCCAUCUCCUCCUCGAUGAUACAAGUGUCGACCACGAACAUGAAUACCGACGAGGACGAACAUUUCUCUCCGGGAGUCUCGUACUCGAUGGUGGUGUACUGCGGGAAGAGCUCGGCAGGGAGGUUGUCGUCGCUGAUGG
rnacentral:misc_RNA from 1 species